GCCUACUUAGCUCAGAGGUUAGAGCAUUGCACUUGUAAUGCGAUGGUCAUCGGUUCAAUCUCGAUAGUUGUCU
rfam:Picea glauca, whole genome shotgun sequence.